AACGAACGCUGGCGGCAGGCUUAACACAUGCAAGUCGAGCGGGCGCUUUCGGGCGUCAGCGGCGGACGGGUUAGUAACGCGUGGGAACGUGCCCUUUGCUCUGGAAUAGCCCUGGGAAACUGGGGGUAAUACCGGAUGUGCCCUGAGGGGGAAAGAUUUAUCGGCAAGGGAUCGGCCCGCGUCUGAUUAGGUAGUUGGUGUGGUAACAGCGCACCAAGCCGACGAUCGGUAGCUGGUUUGAGAGGAUGAUCAGCAACACUGGGACUGAGACACGGCCCAGACUCCUACGGGAGGCAGCAGUGGGGAAUCUUAGACAAUGGGCGCAAGCCUGAUCUAGCCAUGCCGCGUGGGUGAUGAAGGCCUUAGAAUCGUAAAACCCUUUCGCCGAAGAAGAUAAUGACGGUACCCGGUAAAGAAACCCCGGCUAACUCCGUGCCAGCCGCCGCGGUAA
rnacentral:rRNA from 1 species